UCGUGUUUCGCACCGCGCUCCGAACGCGCGUCUGUCCCUGCCCGGACCUCCCAAAACCGAUAAUAACUAAUGCGAUUUGUUUACUAUUUAUCAUCACGUGCUCACAAAUAUAAUGACGGACAGUGGCUAAACAGAAAUCGAACAGCGACUCAACUAAUCUCACAACAGAUCGUGUCCCUUACUGGUUAAAAGUAAUGUGGUGCGUGGGGUAAACACAAGUAUUACAUCCCUCAUCCACGGUGGCGGGGUAUACGCGCCAUGCUGUGUACGCGGGCAGCGCAAGCACCUACCAUGCGCGCUCGCCCGCUGUACCCCUCAAUGCGAACGGUGAACCAAUCAAGCUGCCGGAAAAUCUAGAAAGCUUGCCGCGAGCGGAACAUUUUGCCGCUCAAAGACAUCGCUGGAACACCAAUGAGGAAAUUGCGGCUAUACUCAUUAGCUUUGACAAGCACACGGAAUGGCAGUCGAAGGAAGUCAAAAUACGGCCAAAAAGCGGCUCCAUGCUACUGUACAGUCGAAAGAAGGUCCGGUACAGGCGCGAUGGAUACUGCUGGAAGAAACGGAAAGACGGAAAGACAACCCGAGAAGAUCACAUGAAAUUGAAGGUUCAAGGU